rnacentral:misc_RNA from 1 species
GAAGUGCGAAAAGUGUCAUGACUUGCAGAGUCUUUUUGAGCUGACAAAUCUCUGAAUGCAAAUUGCAGCCGGCGCAAGAUCCGGCUAUAUAUCGUAGAGUGUAGAUGCUCCAGCACAUCAUCACUCAUUAGUUUGAAAAGAGCAAUCUUUUCUCUAAUAGAGUGGACCUGCGUUUGUGGCGCUAAGUGCUACGAAUCGUCAAAUUAAAAGACGACGCCGUUGUCUGUUGGAAGGUCUCGUGCCUUUCAGCAGAUUAACUGCGCACAUCGUUGGAAUUAAAACCCCCAUGCGAUUGUGUUUGCGGUUUUCAAACGUGCUUUAUGCCGUCUCAAUACUUAAUUGUAUCAAUGAGCCACCUCUACGAUAUAGGAUAACCCGCUGAACUUAA